AUUGAACGCUGGCGGAAUGCUUUACACAUGCAAGUCGAGCGGCAGCACGGGGGCAACCCUGGUGGCGAGCGGCGAACGGGUGAGUAACACAUCGGAACAUGCCCAGUCGUGGGGGAUAACACUUCGAAAGAAGUGCUAAUACCGCAUACGUCCUGAGGGAGAAAGCGGGGGAUCGCAAGACCUCGCGCGAUUGGAGUGGCCGAUGUCAGAUUAGCUAGUUGGUGGGGUAAAGGCCUACCAAGGCAACGAUCUGUAGCUGGUCUGAGAGGAUGAUCAGCCACACUGGGACUGAGACACGGCCCAGACUCCUACGGGAGGCAGCAGUGGGGAAUUUUGGACAAUGGGGGCAACCCUGAUCCAGCCAGUCCGCGUGAGUGAAGAAGGCCUUCGGGUUGUAAAGCUCUUUCGGCAGGAACGAAACGGUGAGCUCUAACAUAGCUUGCUAAUGACGGUACCUGAAAAAGAAGCACCGGCUAACUACGUG
rnacentral:rRNA from 1 species